CUAAUCCGAUUGCCACAAGAGCAUUAAGAGCUAAUUUCUCUCCUUCUUUGGCUUUAAUACUCGAUUCAAUUGGCCGUACUAAUUCUUGGUAUCUUGCUUCCAUUAUCAGUGCUCUCUUUUCAAUUGGGAUAACACACAUUCAGGAUCUCGUCUUCUUUAGGUAUGAACUCUUGAACCAGCUCCCGAUCUUUGAAUUUCAAGAUGAUCGUUUCUAGUGAAGUUCCGACAGCCAUGAACCUCCUCCGCAAAUCCAGCGCAAGACCAACUCUAUUCCAGUGUACACUCUUCAACUCUGUUAAGCUCUACUCAAACAAUCGAAGUUAGUCCUUCAAUGCUUGAUUGCUGCAAGAGCUAAGUUCUCUCCCUCACUCUAAUUCUAAUUUUAUUGCAGUCUGUAUUUUUGAUUCUCUCUCUGUUUUUGUGUUCUUAGCAGCUUUGAUGAUCUUUCAUUCCAGCGUCAUCAUCUCUGACGAUUUCUCCCUCUGGUUUGAGCAAAACAAGAUAGUUAAAGAGAUUUUAUUUGUCACUCGUGUCCUACAUUCCGAAAGAAAAUCCCAUUGGUUCUUCUAAACCGCUCGGCAAUAGAUUCAGAAAGGAGGACAUGCGACUGUUGGGAUCGGAUGCAUUUACGCGGAGGUCAAAUUCUUUACAAAGAGACAUCUGAGUAGAUCAUGCUGGCUAUGCUCUUGACCUGGACCAUAAUAGCCUUAACAGAGAACCUACUCGGUGGCAGCAAGAUGACUCUUUCUCAUCAUCUAGUCCUAAACAUCACAUUUCUUGUAGGCUGAGCAGAGAGUGCGUGAAGAAAGUGAGAAGCUGAGGCAGCAAGAGCAUGAGCAAAUUGCAGAAAAGAGAAGGAAGAUUUGGCUGGCCUUUUCUUUUAGUUAUAAUUAUAUCAAUUCAGAAAGAAAGAGAAUCAAAGUAUUUGGUUCUUGUCUGAUUAGUUAAUGAAGCGGUUGACAUUUACUCUCUUUUGUCUGAUUAGAAUUGCUGCCAAGGCAGAAGAAAAGAAAGAAAGAUGCAACCUUGAUUGAGCGGCAAAAGGAGCAAGUUGGUUUCUUUCUGCUGUUAUUCUCAAGGAAAGUUGAGGCGCAGGUGCAUCUAUAGUGAUAUAUAGGAUUUCCUGGAGCAGAAGAGCGCUGGGCGACAGGAGCGAUCUGAAUAUCAGAAACAGAUUGGGGAUCAGAAUAUUGCAAAGGUCGAGAAGCAGUUGGAGAGGUGGCAAAAUG